CCACUAGAAAUCUGCGGCCCAACCGCCGACGGCGCAUCGGACUCUCACGAUGCCUGACAUAUCUACUUUGGUGGAAGGUCGGCGAUGGCGAUGGGACCCCCCUAAAUUUAAGCCGCGCCCCUUCCUCAGCCAGCACCCGAGCAAGACGACUGGCUAACUUGCCGACUUGGCUCCGAUCGAGAAAGGCAAAAGGCCGACGCGAUCAAUGUCGCAUUCGCAACGCACCGACCAGGUC
rnacentral:lncRNA from 1 species